AUUAAUUCAGGUAAAGUCAGGGCAUCAAAACAUGGAAGUGUCUUGAAAUCGGAAGAUUGACAAAAAACAACUUUGGAUCAAUACUCAUGUUGGUAACCAUAAACCGAUUACAAAGCAAAACGAACAGCUCACUUGUGAAUCAACAAAUUGAGCUAGAAAACAUUAGGUGAAACCCAAUUAUGAAGGGUAGCCAGAAGUAGUUACAUCCGAAUUAUUGCAGAAGAAACAGAAUCACAUUUCAAAGUCCCACGACGUCUCAGCACUUAACUUUGGGAUUUUGCGUUCCUCAAGCAAACAGAGAGAUGCACAAAUCUUAAAUGAUCCAUUUAACUUAGAACUCCUGGACCAUUCGAGCCCCAAAUUUUUGCUUGUUGUCUGAUAAGUAGCCUUAAACACGUCAUCCCCAUAAACUUUACGUGAUACCAUGAAGUCCCACGCAUUCUUUGCUGUAUCAUAGAUGGGCUCGAAAGUAGUGAUUCCUCCGUGGACAUAUGUGUACUUUAAUUUACAACUUCCUGAGCCCAUGACGUGAUUAGCCGACACCUUGUUGGCAGAAUCAACCACCAAAGUUCCAUCCAAUAUUGUUCGCUUGUCUCCAUGAAAAUGAAUGUAAUUCAAAUUCAAUGGCUUCUCCAGAACCUUGAUUGAGUUCAUAAAUUGAAACCUAAUGUCCUUCUUCGGGACGUUGUAGUCGACGAUGAACAAUCCAGGUUUCUCAACGGCCAGAGCUAAUCCGUUUAAGCUGGGACCUUUGACAACAGUAGCAUCGGUCAUGGAGGCUCGGAGCUUAAGGUCGCCGGCGUUGAAUGCAACAGUAGCGUUGGCGGCGGCUUUGUCGGGCUCAUAUCGUGCUUUGAAUGAAGCCUUCAUCGUCGCCGAGUGAAAAAUGGACUGUAUUCGAUUUUUUUCGAUUCUCUAGCGAGCGGGAUAAGGAGGAGGAGAUUUGAGGUUUAGGAA
rnacentral:misc_RNA from 1 species